ensembl:lncRNA
AUGAACAUGUAUGUUCAUUGUGGCACUGUUUGCAAUAGCAAAUACCUGGAACCAACCCAAAUGUCCAUCAUCAAUAGACUGGAUAAAGAAAAUGUGGUACAUAUAUACCAUGGAAUACUACGCAGCCAUAAAAAACCAUUUGUGUCCUUUAUAGGGACAUGGAUGAAUUUGGAAACCAUCGUUUUCAGCAAACUAACACAAGAACAGAAAACCAAACACCAUAUGGUGUCACUCAUAGCUGGGAUGGGAAUAAUGAUGAUGACUUUGGAAACUGCAUAUUGAACAAAGCAAGCCUCCUUCAGCUGGUCCCUGGAUCAGCCCCUGAGAGCUCUUUCGCCUGAAUCCUACUAUCUUGCCUUCCAUGAAAUAAUAUUAUAUGAGCAAGAAGUAAACUUCUAUUACAUUAGCUUCUAAUUUGAGGCCCAUAGAUCUCCAAGGGGUCUAUAGAUUGAAUUCAGGGGGUCUGUGAACUUGGAAUGGGAAAAAUAUGAUUUUCACUGUCUUUCUUAUGUCAGUUUAGCAUUUUCUUCUGUUAUGAGUAUAGGGAACAAACCAGUAUUAGGAGUACCUAUGAAAAGUAUUUUUGUAUCACACUACACUUGUAGCAAAUAUGUGAAAUUUUAUUAAAGAUUCAAAAAAUAUAGUAGUAAUAAACCUUCUGGUAUAUUUAGUUAUUUGGUGUUUUAAUAAAGAAGAAUAUCUAUUAUUAUAUCAUAAAUCAUUUUAAUAUUUUAGCACUGCAUUUCAACAUAUUAGUUUCUUUUGAAACAAAAAUAUUAAUGUGUUUAAAAACAUUAUUUUGAUAAUGUGCACACAUGAACAUACAGAGUGAAAUAAUAAAGGUUGGAGACUCAGAAAGGCGGGAGAGUGGGAGGGGAAUGAUGGAUGAGAAAUUAUUUAGCAGGUACAAUGUAUACUAUUUGGGUUAUGCUUUUCAAAAAAACCAAGACUUUACCACCACACAAGGUAUCCAUGUAACAAAAUUGCAUUUGUACCCCUUAAAUCUAUAAAAAUAAAAAAUAUAUAAAAUAAAAAGAAAUCAAAACUUAUUUUGAGAAGGGGUUCUAAGCUUCACCAGACUGCUAAAGUGGCCCUAGUAUAAAAAGUUUACAAAUGCUUGUUUAUAUUAUGUUUGAGCCAUUUUACAAUUUGGGAUAUUUUUAUUAUACCUUUUAACAUCACCCUAAUUUACAGAAGCAAUGAAUGGUAUUUCUGGGGAUUUAGGAGUUGGUUAUUACACAUACAUGAAUUCAUACACAAAUCCUGUGAGGACAUACUAUUUAUUGCAAAUGUUUUUACCAGUUAAUCUAUGUCUUAAUUUUUUAAAGUUUGAUGUAUGAUAUUCAGCUGUGUUGAUAUAGUCAAAUAUAUGAAUCUCAUGUAAUUUUUAUAUAGCUUUCCCAUUUAAAAAAUUAUUUCCCAACCAGGUGAGGGAGGCAGGGAGGAUGGAUGCAAGGGAAAUGCUGGAACCUAUGUUUUGGCUGUGCACAGUCCUGGGUGGGUCGGGAGGCAGUGAUGUCAAGAGCCUAAAGAGCAGACUGUAAGAAAAGAGAAGCUGUACUUUGAAGACCUGUAUUAGAACUAAUGAGAGCUGGAUUUUGAAAAUACUUGGCAGCACCUCUUAGGUGCUUCAGCAGUUUGUAAGACAUGUGUCUGAAAUAACUACCAGUUUGGUUUUUGAAAGAUCCCAGAAUUGUGUGCAGUUACUUGGGCAAGUAGGUCAGGACCCUGUCUUGAGACAGGUGGAAGGAAAAAUUCCAGUCACAAUAUUUUCUCUAGCAACAGAUGAGAUGUGGUGAUCAGGUGACAGUGAAAUUUACCAAAUGGACUGUGUCAGUCAAAAGACAACAUGGCAUAGAAUAUCAGUAUUCCGGCCAGGCCUCAGAGAUGUGGUAUAUCCGUAUGUGAAAAAGGGGUCUCCAAUUUAUGUGAAAGAGGAAGUAGAUUAUGGUGAAUACAUGGAUAAAAAUAAUGUGAGAUGACAAGCAACAACAAUCACAGCUGAUAAUAUAUUUCUGAGUGACCAGACAAAAGAGGAGUAGAGUAGAUGAUUCUUCUUUGGCCAUCAUUUGGUACAGUCUCUUUUCCAAGUCAUGUGUAAACUUUGUAGUUUCCAAGGACAAGAAUCAAAAUACUCUUUUACAUUAAAAAAAACCCUCUCACCUAGGUGGGUGUGCUGUUGUGCAGCUGCACACGACUAGGGCAAUCAUAUCUAGGAUUCCCAAUUUUUUAAUACUUACCUAUGCAUUUUAUUUGUAUUUAAUUCUUUCAUCCACUGGGAAUAUAUUUCAAUCCCUGUUGUGAGAUGAAUAAAAAAGAUGGAUAUUCUUUCGAACACCAUUUUUUGAGGAAUUUAACAUUUCCACCUCUAUUUCUUUUGGAGCAUAUAAAAGUUCUUUAACAUAUUUGAGUGUGCUUUUGAACUGCUCCAUGCUCACUGUGCACCAGUACCACAUUUUAAAAGUUACUGUUUAUCUUAUAAUAUUGCUUAAUAUCUGACUGGACAAGUUUUCUUUCAUUAGUACCAAUUUUUGGUGUGUUUGAUAGUCCUAAAAAAGUAUUGUUCCCAAAAAAAUGCAGAAUGUGCUCUUGGCAAAAUGGAACUUGGUUUGACAGUUGCAGGAAAAUCUUGUAUUUCUAAACAAAGAAUGAUUCCAAGAUUUCUCUAUAUAUUUGUUCCCAAAGAAAAUAUUUUAUAUUUCACCCACAUAUUUAUGAGCAACUUCUCUUCAGAUUUCUCACUUAGACAUAAUGUGUGAUAAGAAGAGCUCUGGAAUAAGAGUCAGAAAUCCUCAACUUGAAACCAACUUUAAUUCUUUGGAGGUGUCUAACCUGAGACAGUUUGCUAUUGUUUUCGAGUUUUUGUUUACCCAAGGGUAAAAUAUGAAUAUAAUUUCCAUUCUACCUAUCACACAGGACAGCUGUAAAGAAUGAGAUAAUAUAUUUGAAAUCUCUUUUAAAACUACAUAGUAUUACAGGUAACAAAUUAGCAUUUAAUUAAAGUUACUGUUUUGCUGAAGCCAGAGAUGUAUUUACUCUUGUCUACAUUCACCUUGCCACAUUCUGUAGAGCAUAAUUUGAUUUACGACAGAUGUAUCUUGGAUAUUGUGGGGAUCGCUCCUGCGAAGGGCCCUUGACAGGACCCUCGCCAUCUUGAGCUUGAGCCCAUACACCUUUCUCCUCUCCUGGAGGCUUUUGAGCUGAGGGAAAGGAGGAAGUCUGGUUGCACUGAUUUUAUAAACAUCAAUCUUUGCCUCUGACAUUUGCAACAGAAUGGCUGAGCUCAGGCCUUGUGGUCUAAUGAGACAUUGUAUGGUUAGAUAUUGUGUGCUUCCCAGUUCCUUCUCUGCACAAUAACUGUAUGACUUUGUUUACCUCUGCUAACUCAGUCAUAUUGUUUGCAUAUGAUUCUAUAUGAGUAGGCAAGGUUAGAAUGACAUUUGGAAAGGUCCAGCUAUACCUUGUUAACAAUCUUAAUUGCUUGCUUAACUGAUUUUAGAAAAACACAUGUUUAGAUUUAUGGUCCCCUUUUUGCAAACUUUAUUGUCCCUUUGCUGUAUACCCUUUGAUUAAGAGUCAUACUUUCUGUACCCCUUUUCUUGUGAUUUUUUGUUCUUGAUUUUAUUUCAAGAUACAAUGGAAUGUACGUCACUCCUCAGACACUGAAAGGUAUAUAACCUGUAGUUUGCACAAAUAAACUUGCUGUCUUGGCACUUAUUGCUCCGGCAUUGCCUGGCAGUCCUCCAGACCCCACUCUCUAUCUAUCUAUCUUUUCUUCCGUGCACUCCCUCUUCCAGGUUAAGAACACUUAAGUGGGGCUGAGGCUCUCCACUGGUCAGAAGCCCCCCGGCAGAUGUGCCGGACACCCACAGGAUAUUAUCCAAGAAGGUUUAGUUUUACUGGAGAAGCCAAAAAGAUCUCGUUAUAAGUUAGUCCCAUGACAUGGACUCUGAGGAUAGUAUUAGACACUGGUUAGAAUUUAUGUACCUUCCAGUGUGUGAUGGGAUAACUGGGGAAGAAAAUUAAUAACCUGGUCUGAUAUGACCCAAAGUUAAAACUGGGGGAUGAAAGUUAGGAGGGAGUUAUACAAAGAAAAUGAGAGCCUGGUUUUAGUUGUAUAAAAGAAUCCUUUGGAAUAGGGAUUAAGAUUCUAAAUGACUAAGAAUUGUCAAAUUUAUACAUGUCAAAGCCCAUAUUUACAAGGGUUUGUCAAACACAGGUCGAACACAGUGGUGAUAUAUAUACAUAUGUAUAUAUAUUUGGUAACAUUUAAUGCAGAGUUAAAUUUUAUUUCCUUGCAAAACAAACACAUUCUUGGAAGACAGUGUAUAGCACACUAUGCCUUCCAAAAUUAUAUGUACAAAUUGUGAUUGAUAUGUUUCUACUCUAAAGUUACCGUGUGUGUAUAGUCUGUGCUGUUGUUGUGGAGAGAAUUACUGCAAGCAUCAACAAGGAAG